CGUACCUGCCACUCCAGCCCGGCCUCUCCGCAAAGGGUGGGAGCCGAGGGGAGCCUGGCAUUUCUCUCGCCCUCACCCCGAGCAUCUGACAGUAAGGUGACAGGUUAUUCAGUGUCCCCAGCGGUCCUAGGAACGUGUUCGUUGGUCCGGUCUCCCUUGGACCUCGCGUGAUGCUCCCGAAGCCCUAUUCAGGCCACAUGUUGAUGGCAGCACCUCUGGAGGAAGCAACUCCAUUUCUGGGCAUUCAUCCUAAGACUAUGAAGAAAGAUGUGUGCGCAAAAUGAGCCGCUGUGGUGGACCCAGAUACGCUAGCCAAACCUUCCUUUGGAGAAAGAGUGUGAUCAGCAGACAGUCACCAGCUGCCAGCGCUUUGAGGUCUGCCUGAGCUGCUGAGUGCAGCCUCCUCUGAGCUCAUGGUCCUCCCAGAGCUGCUCUCAUCCACUGACUGAGUGACUGGAUGUUAGAAAAGUCCAGUCAUUUCUAUCCAAAGCAGAGUACGGUUGAUGGGUCCUUUCCAUAAACAUGAAGCCUGGGUCACAGUUCAACUUCUCCCUU